GAAAUGCGAUAAGUAGUGUGAAUUGCAGAAUUCAGUGAAUCAUCGAAUCUUUGCACGCACAUUGCGCCCUUUGGUAUUCCAAAGGGCAUGCCUGUUCGAGCGUCAUUUGUACCCUCAAGCUUUGCUUGGUGUUGGGCGUCUUGUCUCUAGCUUUGCUGGAGACUCGCCUUAAAGUAAUUGGCAGCCGGCCUACUGGUUUCGGAGCGCAGCACAAGUCGCACUCUCUAUCAGCAAAGGUCUAGCAUCCAUUAAGCCUUUUUUCAACUUUUGACCUCGGAUCAGGUAGGGAUACCCGCUGAACUUAAGC
rnacentral:misc_RNA from 1 species